rnacentral:rRNA from 1 species
AGUCGACGGUGACACGGAGCUUGCUCUGUGGGAUCAGUGGCGAACGGGUGAGUAACACGUGAGCAACCUGCCCCUGACUCUGGGAUAAGCGCUGGAAACGGCGUCUAAUACUGGAUAUGUGACGUGACCGCAUGGUCUGCGUUUGGAAAGAUUUUUCGGUUGGGGAUGGGCUCGCGGCCUAUCAGCUUGUUGGUGAGGUAAUGGCUCACCAAGGCGUCGACGGGUAGCCGGCCUGAGAGGGUGACCGGCCACACUGGGACUGAGACACGGCCCAGACUCCUACGGGAGGCAGCAGUGGGGAAUAUUGCACAAUGGGCGCAAGCCUGAUGCAGCAACGCCGCGUGAGGGAUGACGGCCUUCGGGUUGUAAACCUCUUUUAGCAGGGAAGAAGCGAAAGUGACGGUACCUGCAGAAAAAGCGCCGGCUAACUACGUGCCAGCAGCCGCGGUAAUACGUAGGGCGCAAGCGUUAUCCGGAAUUAUUGGGCGUAAAGAGCUCGUAGGCGGUUUGUCGCGUCUGCUGUGAAAUCCCGAGGCUCAACCUCGGGCCUGCAGUGGGUACGGGCAGACUAGAGUGCGGUAGGGGAGAUUGGAAUUCCUGGUGUAGCGGUGGAAUGCGCAGAUAUCAGGAGGAACACCGAUGGCGAAGGCAGAUCUCUGGGCCGUAACUGACGCUGAGGAGCGAAAGGGUGGGGAGCAAACAGGCUUAGAUACCCUGGUAGUCCACCCCGUAAACGUUGGGAACUAGUUGUGGGGUCCAUUCCACGGAUUCCGUGACGCAGCUAACGCAUUAAGUUCCCCGCCUGGGGAGUACGGCCGCAAGGCUAAAACUCAAAGGAAUUGACGGGGACCCGCACAAGCGGCGGAGCAUGCGGAUUAAUUCGAUGCAACGCGAAGAACCUUACCAAGGCUUGACAUAUACGAGAACGGGCCAGAAAUGGUCAACUCUUUGGACACUCGUAAACAGGUGGUGCAUGGUUGUCGUCAGCUCGUGUCGUGAGAUGUUGGGUUAAGUCCCGCAACGAGCGCAACCCUCGUUCUAUGUUGCCAGCACGUAAUGGUGGGAACUCAUGGGAUACUGCCGGGGUCAACUCGGAGGAAGGUGGGGAUGACGUCAAAUCAUCAUGCCCCUUAUGUCUUGGGCUUCACGCAUGCUACAAUGGCCGGUACAAAGGGCUGCAAUACCGUGAGGUGGAGCGAAUCCCAAAAAGCCGGUCCCAGUUCGGAUUGAGGUCUGCAACUCGACCUCAUGAAGUCGGAGUCGCUAGUAAUCGCAGAUCAGCAACGCUGCGGUGAAUACGUUCCCGGGUCUUGUACACACCGCCCGUCAAGUCAUGAAAGUCGGUAACACCUGAAGCCGGGGCCUAACCC